CGCAGGUUUAGUGAGGUGACAGCUGGCGUUAGCUUUGAGCAGUCACCAGUCACAGUCAGUCGUUGAGCCCAAGCGCGAUUGUGUUGUGAUAGUUGGGUUGCAGUUAUUAGCGCGGUUACACACCACGGUUGGGUGGGGCUUGUUUUGGUUCAUCGCUGUUGACUUCAACCUGCCUGUGGUCUGGCGAUCUUACCCGACGACAUGGAAAACGUUCAACUAAAUUUCACAGUGGGGUCAUGAGAUUCAAUGCUUCUUUGUACUUACAGCGUUGUCCGAUCAUCUCAAGGAGCUUGCCGGGAUGCUGCCUUCUGUUCCUUACUUACUUCCUGAAACUACUCAUCUGUUGUCCCUCCAUGUGAAGGAGAUCUUCAGAGAUCUUCAGUCAGUGACCUGGAAGCUAGCAGCUAUUCUUCUUGCUGUAUCAGCUAUUCUUCCUUCAUUAUUUCCUGAGUGAACUGGGUAUGGGUGGAUGGGCCAGCAGGAACGCAUGCUGCAUAGAGCUGUGCACAAUCAACAUGGCAA